UCAGUUGCUGGCUUGUCGUCCUCCUCGUCUCACAUCAGCUAGCAGCUAUGAGGCAUCUGGAGGUGGUGACUCCAUGUUGUGCCUCUGCUCACUGUUACAUUCAUUUAAGUAAAUCAUGCAAAUUAAAAAACAAAACAAAACAAGAAACAAACACUAAAACCUUCCUUCCGUGCAAAAAUAAAUCAAAAGAUAGGAGUUUCCAUGGGAAUAGACCUUGUCCGACGUGGUAAGAGCUGUUGUGUAAUGGCCUGUCCCUUUCUUCUCUCUGAAGGUCCCAACCCCAUGCGUCCCACUGGUCUGGGAUGACGUUUGGAGGAGCCUGGCAGUCUGGUCCUUUUUGUAGCUCCCAAGGAUUUUUAGGAUCAUGGGAUGCAUGGACAUAUGGACCCACAAAACUCUCUGGAGAAUGUCGGCUAUGGAUAUAAGCAUCUGGAAGUUCCUACCAUCUUUUUACCUUCUUUUUUCCUGGGUCACCCUGUGUCAUUUGUGGCCCUGUCCUGAGGAUUAUAGCAUACAGUCACUUACUGGAAUAUCUCCGCAUGCAUCUUCUUAAGACGGAGCCAUUGCUUUACCCAGCUGGAAGAUAUUUUCUCUUCUCCCAGAGCUUUUCCAGUGCAGCAGCAUUCCUGUCCAGCAGGUCUUGGUUGACUGCAAAAAGAAGGGAGGAGCAUGUCAAAGGGAGGUCAGAUCCUGCCAGGGUUUCCUGGGAAAUGAGGUUAUCCACUGUUUGGAUGAUGAAGCUUGAUGAGCUGCGAUUUGGCUUGGAUUACAGUAUUUCAGAAGACUUUCUGAACUUGCCAGGCAACCCUCCCCCUAGACUUUGGGGACAGAGGAGCUUAAAUUUAUAUCUCCAGUGUCACAAAAGGAGAAAGAGCAGAGUUGGCUGCUUUGCACAAGUAAUGAAAAUCAAUGCUGUGUUGCUCUUGGGAGGAAUGCUCAAAAGGAGAAAAGCCUGGCAUAUAGAUCUUUGUUUAGAGACAGAUUUUGCCUGGGAAGAGUGUGCCCAGGGGAAGAUACAGGAAGGAGAAGAGGUGAUGCUACAAGCCAGCUUGCUGACCUCCAGGGUGAGACUGAAGCUUUGUAACAAGAUUUAUCUGGAAAGUAUGACCAACAGGAGCAGCUUACUCACCAUUAGAUAAGUAUUGCAGAUGACUCAUGCUGGAGUAUUGAUAGCUGUGCUGCUGAGAUGGAUAUCCUGUUUUAUAACAGCUGUAGUGUGAUACCAAGAGCCAGGAACCUUAAUUUCACCACCCAUGCUUUUUCAUGAACGUGCUUUCGGUCUCUGACACCUUUUCUCCUUGGUUUGUCCAUCUGAAGGGUUCACAGGGGAUGUUUUGCUUCCUUCAGUGGGGUACAGGGUAUGGGGCAGCUCAUGUCACCUUGAAGUGAAAGCUACUGUUGAAAAGCUGCAGCUUUAUAGCUGUUCUCCAGGACAUGCAAUAUUUGUCUUUUUAAUAGAUGCCAUUAGUGGCUUUCCUCGAUUCUUCGGGGUUUUUUGUUUUGUUUGUUUUUUUUCAGAGCCAUUAUACCCCUUCUUCAGGAGAACAAACCGGAAGGUGCAGAAACAGGUAAGGCAUGUUACUUUCAAGUCAUUAAGGGCAAAAUACUGGCCUCAAUAAAGUGCAAAAAAAAAAAAAAAAAACGUUGACUGCAUGGCAAGUGAGAGUUGUACCCAGUGUGCCCAGUUCUAUGUGAGGCCCUGGAAUCACUACAUUCAGGGACAAAUUUGCAGGGUACCUGAGAGCAUGUGUCUGAACCUUCCUCUGCUUCCAAAACCACUGGGCUCAAGGCUGUGUGAGCAAUAGAUGAUGAGAUUUAAGAAGUGAUGAGCAAGAGAAAGGAACCUGCCCUUGGGGGAGAUGCAAAAGGAGCUGAGCUGUGAAGGUAGAGGGUAUGUACAGGAUGGCAGGAGCUGCUGGGGAGGUGUUAACCCACAUGGGGUGGCAGGCGACUGAGGUGGCUUUACCUUGGACGGGUGCAAAGGGCCAUACAGCAGUGAGGGAAAUUUGGUGUUAAAAGGAGAAAUUUUGCAAGGGAGUGUGUUGCAGCGAGGGCCAUGCCAGUGAUGUCAGUGUGUGUGGGUGGUGUCACUGGGGAUGUCACUGGGGGUGGCUGGGGCCUGUACCACACUCUUGGGCAUCACCUGUGGUUCAUGCCAUGGCUUAAACUGCUGAGGAUGUUUGGUUUCCAUGAAGGUGCUGGGCCAUGGCUGAGCAGCUGUGGCUUGAGCAGUGUGUCCCUUUCACCAGCAGCAGCUUGGGGCAGGACUUUCCAGUGGGGCAGUGGAGGCGUGUCAGGUGCUGCACCUGAGUUCUCAGCAAACAUGAGCCAGAGCCCAGGACGAAAAAAUCUGGCUUGAGGACCUGUGCUGUGUCCCAGAGGCAUGAUUUGGGUCUGUGCAUUUACUGUGAGGAUGGUGCGACACUAGAGCUGGUUACCCAGAGAAAUUGUGGAUGCUCCAUCCCUGGAAGUGUUCGAGGUUAGGCUGGACAGAGCGCUCAGCAACCUGAUCUAGUGAGAGCUGUCCCUGCCCAUGGCAGAGGGGGGUUGGACUAGAUGAUCCUUGAAGGUCCCUUACAACCCAAACCAUUCUGUGGUUCUAUGAUUUUGAUACUUUGCUACAUUCAUCGGAGCUUCUGUUCUUCAGGCUGUUGUGGCACUUUGGAAUAAAGAACUGUGUCCUGCUCAUGUGUAAAAAAACACAUACUGCAUCUGGCUCCAGCAGAAACCCCUGCAUAAGGGCUUGUAACGUAGUCUCAAUUAGGUCCCUGCCUUAUAGAGUAGAAAAUGCCUUUAAGGCCUCCUCCCUUUAGGCUCUGCAUCAGAUAUUCACAUGCUGUGAAACAAUCUCAGGACUAAAUUUUUCUGAGUGAUAAUCUGGUGUUGCUCUUGGUAGAAAGGGUGGGAGUUUGGCUUUGGGGGAUUAUGUAGCAUCAGCCAGUGACUGCAAGGGUCGGGGUAUCAGGAAUUUUACCACUUGGGGCAUAUCCUUCUGCAUUGACAUGCCUAAAAAAACCCCAAAACUCUGACAAAUGCUCUUAACCAUCACUUGGUGGAAAUAUUUUUGGGGUAGAGAAAUGAGAACACAAGGCCCUGCCUCACUCACCUUGCAUCACUGGGGUCAGGAUGGCAGCUCAGAGGCAGGAUCUGUGCUUCCCCGUGGUGGUCUCAGCUAUACAUAUUCAAAUUGAGCACCCAGGCAUGUCACCUCACUGCAGCUGAGAGAGGCACAGGGGCUUUCCAGCCCUGCAGGCCAUUAUUAGUAAGAGGGUUUGCGCCUGAUGUGUCUUUUGGUUCAAGCUGUGAACUG